GUGCUUGCUUCGGCAGCACACACACUAGGUUUGAACGAUACAGAGAAGAUGAGGAUGGCCCCUGCACAAGGAUCACACGCAAAUCUGUGACGCAUUCCCUGUUUUU